rnacentral:rRNA from 1 species
GACGAACGCUGGCGGCGUGCUUAACACAUGCAAGUCGAACGGAAAGGCCCUGCUUUUGUGGGGUGCUCGAGUGGCGAACGGGUGAGUAACACGUGAGUAACCUGCCCUUGACUUUGGGAUAACUUUAGGAAACUGGGGCUAAUACCGGAUAGGAGCUCCUGCUGCAUGGUGGGGGUUGGAAAGUUUCGGCGGUUGGGGAUGGACUCGCGGCUUAUCAGCUUGUUGGUGGGGUAGUGGCUUACCAAGGCUUCGACGGGUAGCCGGCCUGAGAGGGUGACCGGCCACAUUGGAACUGAGAUACGACCCAGACUCCUACGGGAGGCAACGGUGGAGAAUAUUGCACAAGAGGCGGGAGCCUGAUGCAGCAACGCCGCGUGCGGGAUGAGGGCCUUCGGGUUGUGAACCGCUGUCGCCUGUGACGAGGCGUGAGUGACGGUAAUGGGUAAAGAAGCACCGGCUAACUACGUG